CUCUGUCCCUCCUCCCCCUUGACUGGUGGAAUUGUGGCUGGGGCAGCAGGCGUUGAGACGGGUAAUCUUGUUGUUUCAGAUGCUGGUGACCUUUGAGGAGGUGGCUGUGUAUUUCACCCAGGGGCAGGGGGCUCUGCUGGACUCCGCUCAGAAUGCCCUCUAGAGGGAUGUCAUGCAGGAGAACUACCAGACGGUGACCUCGCUGGGAUUUUCCCUUCCCAAACCUGACCCAAUCACCCGGCUGGAAUGAGGGGAAGAGCCGUGGGUGCCCUAUCUCCAGGCCAGUGAGGAAAGAGGGAUCCCGAGAGGCGCCCACACAGCAGUUGAUGAGAGAGUGAGUGAGAACGAGGAGGGGAAUCAACAGCAGGAAGUUCCUGGGCACGGGGAAUCGCAGAGA